rnacentral:lncRNA from 1 species
GAUUCAAAUUAACAACCAUGCAUUUUGUUUUUAUCUCCUGCUACAGAAUUCCUUGUCAGGACAUCACUGAACUGAAAGGACAGAAGAUAAAAGCUCUACGAAAAGGGAGCAGAGUCAUGAUUUUUAGCCUUUGGGACCAGCUGCACUCCACUAUUUCCUUUUUACAGGAAGGGCAUAAUCUACAACAAGGAAGAAAGUCACAGACAAAGAGUAAAGUUUAUUCUAGGGAAGUUGUGGUUGGAGGAGGAAGGAAGAAGGGAGAACUGAGACUGAGAAGGAAACAGGCUCCUAUUAUCAGUGUCAGUGAGCAGACUUGGCUCUUGCAUGGUCGUCAGGUGCUGCCAAGAAAAUUCUAGCUGGCCUCACUCUGGAGCAUGGUCAGUGCAAAUGAAAUGUAUUAUUUACUGUAAAGCUGUCUUUUCUAAGCAUAUGAUGACUGUAUUUUUAAAUGCAGAUAAUUUAGGCAGACUUCUACAGGCAGGACUGUAGCACGUGCUUCCUGUAAGAACAUUCCUUGCUAUAUUUUAGUUGCCUGCUUGAAAGCACAGAAUUUCUAUAGCUUUUCAGUUAAUAGCUCGUAAGAAUUUCAUUUAAUAUUAGGGAACAGCACACUUUCUUUAAGCUGUUUUUGCUAAAAUCAAGACAAAA